rnacentral:tmRNA from 1 species
GGGGGCGGUACGGUAUCGACCGGACGAGGGAACGUUCGAUUGCGUGCCGAGGUUGCCGGGUGGCCUCGUAAAACCCCCGGCGCAAAAGUACCUGCCACUCCGCAGUACGCACUCGCUGCUUAGUCAAUAAGCAGCCCUCCCCCGAGCCCCCGCCCAUGGGGCAAGGGACGGAGGCCGCAAGAUGGGCUGGCCCCAAACCUGCGCCGCAGGGGGGAGGGGCGAGAAACGCACUGCCGGCUUUGUCCCAACCGGCGCCGCCCGCUGGCGCCGGGGACGAGAUCUUCAGCGGGCUACGCACGUAGAGGUCGAACGGGAACCGUUGCGGGACCCGGGUUCGACUCCCGGCGCCUCCAUCC